rnacentral:lncRNA from 1 species
AGAAGAAAACUGCCUACGGGAGUGCUGGGGAAGCUUUGAGCACAGGAAGGGUUCGGGCGUAUGCCAGUCGACAUUCUCUCUGAUUACCUGGCUGAAAUGAGCGAGGGCGUUGAAAAGAGGAAAGUCUGGGAUCACAUCUAAAUAUUUUCUUCACUUACUUCUGUCCAUUAGAUGAUUAGAAUGGACAGUGAACAUUUGGGGUUGAAAAUCCACUACUUGUUCCUGUGCGCUGUUUAUACAUACACGCAUGCUAUGUGUCUAUACACACAGAGAGACACUGAGAAGCACAACACUCAGCGCUGGCUUCGGCAGCACAGACACUAAAAGUGCAACAUUCACAUCUACAGAGAAAGGAGAAAGAGAAACAGAUACACAGAAAUUCACAGUGUUGAAUGUUUUAUGCUGUCAUAGAAUUUGCAAAAAUAGUUGAGUCCUUACUCUCAAAACACUGAAUGGGUGUAUCAGGACACCGCAUGACGACCGCUGAGCUGCCGGCAAACAGGAAGCUGGCGCUCCGGGGCUGGAGACAGGGAGGGGCGAGCAGGACUGUGACCGUGCCCGUGCUGAGAGAACCGGAACCCGCACCCCGCUGGCGAGGACGCACAGGGAGCGCUCUGUGAGCUGCCCACGGCCAUCUGCUCAGGGUCAGAAGGCCCUGGAAACAGACUUGCUCGUUCUCAGGCUCAUUUCUCUUACUUCGCCAGUGGAGAAUGAUUAAUGAUGACGUUAAAUUAGGUAGUAGUUCACUCCCCAUUUCUGCUCUGGCCUUCUUCCUGUGACCGUUUGGACUUCCCACCCCCCAUUAUUGUACGGUUAGGCCACAGUAGAGGUGAUGGGACCUGAAAGCACCAAGCACACGUUCAAGCUGAGCUGCACCCCAGGACUGACCGCAGUUAGUACUGAAAAUCUCCGCACCCACCUGAGGGCAUGGACAUCAAAUGUGCAAACUCAGCGACUUUCUCACCACCGUGUCGCACCGUUUUCAGGUCUGUUCCAUUCCCAGUACCAUGCUGAUAAAAUCCCACUUCUUAAUACCAUCGCAUUAGCCACUGAGCUUCCACAUCUGAAGACUUGGUAG